rnacentral:rRNA from 1 species
CAACAGCUCAAAUUUGAAAUCUGGCCCUCGGGUCCGAGUUGUAAUUUGCAGAGGAUGCUUUUGGUGAGGUGCCUUCCGAGUUCCCUGGAACGGGACGCCAUAGAGGGUGAGAGCCCCGUCUGGUCGGACACCAAUCCUAUGUAAAGCUCCUUCGACGAGUCGAGUAGUUUGGGAAUGCUGCUCUAAAUGGGAGGUAUAUGUCUUCUAAAGCUAAAUACCGGCCAGAGACCGAUAGCGCACAAGUAGAGUGAUCGAAAGAUGAAAAGCACUUUGAAAAGAGAGUUAAACAGUACGUGAAAUUGUUGAAAGGGAAGCGCUCAUGACCAGACUUGGGCUUGGUUGAUCAACCUGGGUUCUCCCGGGUGCACUCUUCCUCGUCCAGGCCAGCAUCAGUUCGCUGCGGGGGAUAAAGGUUUCGGGAAUGUGGCUCCCUCGGGAGUGUUAUAGCCCGUUGCGUAAUACCCUGCGGUGGACUGAGGUCCGCGUUCUGCAAGGAUGCUGGCGUAAUGGUCAUCAGCGAC